rnacentral:rRNA from 1 species
GCUGACGGCCAUAUCUCACCGAAUGCACCGGAUCUCUUUCGACCUCCGAAGUUAAGCGGUGGAGAGCCCGCCUUGUACACCUGCUGGGAAGCGCUUAGGGUGCUGUCAGCU